GAUGAACGCUAGCUACAGGCUUAACACAUGCAAGUCGCGGGGCAGCAUGGGGGUUGCUUGCAACCCCUGAUGGCGACCGGCGCACGGGUGAGUAACGCGUAUCCAACCUGCCCUUCACCACGGGAUAACCCGGCGAAAGUCGGACUAAUACCGUAUGUUGUCCAUUGACGGCAUCCGAUUUGGACGAAAGGCUUGGCGGUGAAGGGAUGGGGAUGCGUCCGAUUAGCUUGACGGCGGGGUAACGGCCCACCGUGGCUACGAUCGGUAGGGGUUCUGAGAGGAAGGUCCCCCACACUGGAACUGAGACACGGUCCAGACUCCUACGGGAGGCAGCAGUGAGGAAUAUUGGUCAAUGGGCGUAAGCCUGAACCAGCCAAGUAGCGUGCAGGAUGACGGCCCUAUGGGUUGUAAACUGCUUUUAUGCGGGGAUAAAGUGGCCCACGUGUGGGCUUUUGCAGGUACCGCAUGAAUAAGAACCGGCUAAUUCCGUG
rnacentral:rRNA from 1 species